rnacentral:rRNA from 1 species
GAAUGAAGCGCCAUGGAGGGUGAGAGCCCCGUCCAUCCCGCACAGGAUCCAUUCGUACAAGGACGCUUCAAUCGAGUCGGGUAGCUUGGGAAUGCUGCUCUAAUUGGUGGUAAAUCUCAUCAAAGGCUAAAUAGUGGUGGGAGACCGAUAGCGAACAAGUACCGUGAGGGAAAGAUGGAAAGAACUUUGAAAAGAGAGUGAAAAGCACUUGAAACCGUCACGGGGGAAGCGGAUUGCGUGAGUGAUGGUGUCGCUUGUUCAGCGCUUUAUUGCGUGCAUUCUGGCGGCGCCGUGCCGGCGUGGCUGGCUGGACUGUGAUUUUGACAGUCUCGGCUGGUGAGGGCUCCCUCGUAUGAGGUGAGGACGCGGGCAAAAUGACGCAAUACGACCCGUCUUGAAACACGGACCAAGGAGUCUAGCACGGCUGCGAGUCGAAGAGUGAUUAAACUCAAGGGCGCAGUGAAAGCGAAAUUAUAAGCAAAUUGGGGAGGCGUUGCGUUUUUAACAAAAUGUCCUACCUCGAGCAUUUGUGCUGGGACCCGAAAGAUGGUGAACUAUGCCGGAGUAGGGCAAAGCCAGAGGAAACUCUGGUGGAGGCUCGUAGCGAUGCUGACGUGCAAAUCGCUCGUCGAACUUGGGUAUAGGGGCGAAAGACUAAUCGAACCAUCUAGUAGCUGGUUCCCUCCGAAGUUUCUCUCAGGAUAGCGGGCCGACACGCGUUUGUUGUUUUGUGCGGUAAAGCGAAUGAUUAGUGCAUUUGGGGUACGAAGUACUUCGGGCGAUUCUCAAACUUUAAAUGCGCAAGGGGGUGGCUGCUUAAUUGAGCCUACUCUUUGAAAAACGUCGGCCCUGUGGGCCACUUUUGGUAAGCAG